UUUAAAGCUCCUGGCCUUGCAGCCACCUCUAGGGCCAGGAGAGGGGCAGUGGGAGCGAAUACUUUGGCACAUCAUUGUUCGCCACCAUCGGGCCUAGGUGAACCACUGCGGUGACUUCCUCUGCCUGGCCAACACACCACUGGAGGUUUGUGCUUCAUCUCGGUUUGCCAGAUAUCCUAAUUGCAGGGCAGCCAACUUCCUGUUAGAUGGGUUCUUGCACGGUUUUUGCAUUCCUUACUUGGGCCCCCGCAUGCCGACGGAUAGUAAAAAUUUGAAGGGAAUAAUUGGAGGCAGAGCCUCAGUGAUAAAACAAAAACAGGAACAGGGUAGCUGUUCCCAGGAACCUAAAAAGAACUUAAACGCAGUGAUUUUGGACAUUGCAGCUGUGCGCUCAGUUUCCAAAGAGCAAAGGCUAUCAGACAAACAUCUAGUACGAGGAAAGAGUAUUUUAGUUUUCCUUGUCGCAGCUGAAGGAAAUAAAAGGGGAACGGGGCAAGUGUUUGCUGCACCUUUCAAAAGCUGAAAUCUUAGACUUUAGCCAAAAAGUAGAGCCUCCAGUUUCAGAGGCAGUACGUCUUGGGAAAUCUAAGCUAGGCUCUCUGUUUCCAGGCUGCCUGAGAAAGUAAACUCUGACAGAGCCAACGUUGAACCACAAUUCCAUGGUGGUCGACAGUAAGCCCAAGCCCCGGCCCCCAUGACCCAAGAUCUUGCUCAGAUAAAGGGGAUAAAAUUGAUUAACCUUUUUUUUCUUCUAACUGUAGCAAGAAGAGAAAUGCUCCAGUUUCUAACCACACCUCUUUGGAAACGGGGGGGGGGGAUCUAAUU